rnacentral:rRNA from 1 species
UGGGGAUUAUUGCACAAUGGGGGAAACCCUGAUGCAGCGACGCCGCGUGAGCGAAGAAGGCUUUCGAGUCGUAAAGCUCUGUCCUAUGAGAAGAUAAUGACGGUAUCAUAGGAGGAAGCCCUGGCUAAAUACGUGCCAGCAGCCGCGGUAAUACGUAUGGGGCGAGCGUCGUCCGGAAUUAUUGGGCGUAAAGGGUACGUAGGUGGUUUUUUAAGUCAGGUGUCAAAGCGUGGAGCUUAACUCCAUUAAGCACUUGAAACUGAAAGACUUGAGUGAAGGAGAGGAAAGUGGAAUUCCUAGUGUAGCGGUGAAAUGCGUAGAUAUUAGGAGGAAUACCGGUGGCGAAGGCGACUUUCUGGACUUUUACUGACGCUCAGGUACGAAAGCGUGGGGAGCAAACAGG